rnacentral:rRNA from 1 species
GGUUAAGCGACUAAGCGUACACGGUGGAUGCCCUGGCAGUCAGAGGCGAUGAAGGGCGUGCUAAUCUGCGAUAAGCGCCGGUAAGGUGAUAUGAACCGUUAUAACCGGCGAUACCCGAAUGGGGAAACCCAGUGUGAUUCGUCACACUAUCAUUAACUGAAUCCAUAGGUUAAUGAGGCGAACCGGGGGAACUGAAACAUCUAAGUACCCCGAGGAAAAGAAAUCAACCGAGAUUCCCCCAGUAGCGGCGAGCGAACGGGGAGGAGCCCAGAGCCUGAAUCAGCAUGUGUGUUAGUGGAAGCGUCUGGAAAGGCGCGCGAUACAGGGUGACAGCCCCGUACACAAAAGCGCAUGUGCUGUGAGCUCGAUGAGUAGGGCGGGACACGUGGUAUCCUGUCUGAAUAUGGGGGGACCAUCCUCCAAGGCUAAAUACUCCUGACUGACCGAUAGUGAACCAGUACCGUGAGGGAAAGGCGAAAAGAACCCCGGCGAGGGGAGUGAAAAAGAACCUGAAACCGUGUACGUACAAGCAGUGGGAGCCCCACCACUAAGCCAGUGGUGAACUCCACAUCCGCAUCCUUUGCUGAGGAUACGGUUAACGGAGCGAAAGCGACGUUCAACCGCAAAACAAGCAGAGGGGGCUUAGUGGUGGGGUGACUGCGUACCUUUUGUAUAAUGGGUCAGCGACUUAUAUUCUGUAGCAAGGUUAACCGAAUAGGGGAGCCGGAGGGAAACCGAGUCUUAAUUGGGCGUUAAGUUGCAGGGUAUAGACCCGAAACCCGGUGAUCUAGCCAUGGGCAGGUUGAAGGUUGGGUAACACUAACUGGAGGACCGAACCGACUAAUGUUGAAAAAUUAGCGGAUGACCUGUGGCUGGGGGUGAAAGGCCAAUCAAACCGGGAGAUAGCUGGUUCUCCCCGAAAGCUAUUUAGGUAGCGCCUCGUGAAUUCAUCUCCGGGGGUAGAGCACUGUUUCGGCUAGGGGGCCAUCCCGGCUUACCAACCCGAUGCAAACUGCGAAUACCGGAGAAUGUUAUCACGGGAGACACACGGCGGGUGCUAACGUCCGUCGUGAAGAGGGAAACAACCCAGACCGCCAGCUAAGGUCCCAAAGUCAUGGUUAAGUGGGAAACGAUGUGGGAAGGCCCAGACAGCCAGGAUGUUGGCUUAGAAGCAGCCAUCAUUUAAAGAAAGCGUAAUAGCUCACUGGUCGAGUCGGCCUGCGCGGAAGAUGUAACGGGGCUAAACCAUGCACCGAAGCUGCGGCAGCGAACGUAUCACUUAAAGCGAUUCAGCGGGUUACGAUUGACGGAGCGAAGCGACGUCAAAGCGUAUACAAAGUCGAGUCGGUUUAAGGAUACGUUCGUUGGGUAGGGGAGCGUUCUGUAAGCCCGUGAAGGUGGCCUGUGAGGGUUGCUGGAGGUAUCAGAAGUGCGAAUGCUGACAUAAGUAACGAUAAAGCGGGUGAAAAGCCCGCUCGCCGGAAGACCAAGGGUUCCUGUCCAACGUUAAUCGGGGCAGGGUGAGUCGACCCCUAAGGCGAGGCCGAAAGGCGUAGUCGAUGGGAAACGGGUUAAUAUUCCCGUACUUGGUGUUACUGCGAAGGGGGGACGGAGAAGGCUAUGUUGGCCGGGCGACGGUUGUCCCGGUUUAAGCGUGUAGGUGUGUGUUCCAGGUAAAUCCGGUUCACUUUAACACUGAGGCGUGACGACGAGGCACUACGGUGCUGAAGCAACAAAUGCCCUGCUUCCAGGAAAAGCCUCUAAGCAUCAGGUAACAUCAAAUCGUACCCCAAACCGACACAGGUGGUCAGGUAGAGAAUACCAAGGCGCUUGAGAGAACUCGGGUGAAGGAACUAGGCAAAAUGGUGCCGUAACUUCGGGAGAAGGCACGCUGACAUGUAGGUGAAGUGAUUUACUCAUGGAGCUGAAGUCAGUCGAAGAUACCAGCUGGCUGCAACUGUUUAUUAAAAACACAGCACUGUGCAAACACGAAAGUGGACGUAUACGGUGUGACGCCUGCCCGGUGCCGGAAGGUUAAUUGAUGGGGUCAGCGCAAGCGAAGCUCCUGAUCGAAGCCCCGGUAAACGGCGGCCGUAACUAUAACGGUCCUAAGGUAGCGAAAUUCCUUGUCGGGUAAGUUCCGACCUGCACGAAUGGCGUAAUGAUGGCCAGGCUGUCUCCACCCGAGACUCAGUGAAAUUGAACUCGCUGUGAAGAUGCAGUGUACCCGCGGCAAGACGGAAAGACCCCGUGAACCUUUACUAUAGCUUGACACUGAACAUUGAGCCUUGAUGUGUAGGAUAGGUGGGAGGCUUUGAAGUGUGGACGCCAGUCUGCAUGGAGCCGACCUUGAAAUACCACCCUUUAAUGUUUGAUGUUCUAACGUGGACCCGUUACCCGGGUUGCGGACAGUGUCUGGUGGGUAGUUUGACUGGGGCGGUCUCCUCCUAAAGAGUAACGGAGGAGCACGAAGGUUGGCUAAUCCUGGUCGGACAUCAGGAGGUUAGUGCAAUGGCAUAAGCCAGCUUGACUGCGAGCGUGACGGCGCGAGCAGGUGCGAAAGCAGGUCAUAGUGAUCCGGUGGUUCUGAAUGGAAGGGCCAUCGCUCAACGGAUAAAAGGUACUCCGGGGAUAACAGGCUGAUACCGCCCAAGAGUUCAUAUCGACGGCGGUGUUUGGCACCUCGAUGUCGGCUCAUCACAUCCUGGGGCUGAAGUAGGUCCCAAGGGUAUGGCUGUUCGCCAUUUAAAGUGGUACGCGAGCUGGGUUUAGAACGUCGUGAGACAGUUCGGUCCCUAUCUGCCGUGGGCGCUGGAGAACUGAGGGGGGCUGCUCCUAGUACGAGAGGACCGGAGUGGACGCAUCACUGGUGUUCGGGUUGUCAUGCCAAUGGCACUGCCCGGUAGCUAAAUGCGGAAGAGAUAAGUGCUGAAAGCAUCUAAGCACGAAACUUGCCCCGAGAUGAGUUCUCCCUGAGACUUAGAGUCUCCUGAAGGAACGUUGAAGACGACGACGUUGAUAGGCCGGGUGUGUAAGCGCAGCGAUGCGUUGAGCUAACCGGUACUAAUGAACCGUGAGGCUUAACCUU